GACGAACGCUGGCGGCGUGCCUAAUACAUGCAAGUCGAACGCAGUGGGGACGGGUGAGUAACACGUGGGUAACCUCCCAUCAGAGGGGAUAACACUUGGAAACAGGUGCUAAACCGAUACUGAUGGAUGGACCCGCGGUGCAUUAGCUAGUUGGUGAGGUAACGGCUCACCAAGGCCACGAUGCAUAGCCGACCUGUGAGGUUGAUCGGCAACACGGGGACGGAGAAACGGCCCAGACUCCUACGGUGGGCAGCAGGAGGGAAUCUUCGGCAUGGGACAAAAGUCUGACAGGGCAAGGCCGCGUGAGUAUGAAAGGUUUUCGGUUCGAAAGACUCGGUGGUUAGGGAAGCGGUAUCGAACCAGAAAGCCACGGCUAACUACGUGCCAGCAGCCGCGGUAAUAC
rnacentral:rRNA from 1 species